CCAGAUCUAUCUUUCCAGCU
rnacentral:miRNA from 1 species